GUGAGGAAUUUUCCGCAAUGGGCGAAAGCCUGACAGAGCAAUGCCGCGUGAAGGAUGAAGGCCUAUGGGUUGUAAACUUCUUUUCUCAGAAAAGAAUUAUGACGGUAUCUGAGGAAUAAGCAUCGGCUAACUCUGUGCCAGCAGCCGCGGUAAGACAGAGGAUGCAAGCGUUAUCCGGAAUGAUUGGGCGUAAAGCGUCUGUAGGUUGUUUAAAAAGUAUUCUGUCAAAGAUUAGGGCUUAACCCUAGAUAGGCAGAAUAAACUUUUAAGCUAGAGUUUGGUAGAGGCAGAGGGAAUUCCCGGUGGAGCGGUGAAAUGCGUAGAUAUCGGGAGGAACACCAAAGGCGAAGGCACUCUGCUGGGCCAAUACUAACACUGAGAGACGAAAGCGAGGGGAGCAAAUGGGAUUAGAAACCCUUGUAGUCC
rnacentral:rRNA from 1 species